rnacentral:rRNA from 1 species
AUUGAACGCUGGCGGCAGGCCUAACACAUGCAAGUCGAACGAGUGGCGGACGGGUGAGUAUUGUCUGGGAAACUUCCCCCUGGAGGGGGAUAUCUACUGGAAACGGUAGCUCUUACCGCAUACCAUCGGAUGUGCCCAGAGGGGAUUGGCUAGUAGGGGUGGUAACGGCUCACCUAGGCGACGAUCCCUAGCUGGGCUGAGAGGAGGACCAGCCACACGGGAACUGAGACCCGGUCCAGACUCCUACGGGAGGCAGCAGUGGGGAAUAUUGCACAAUGGGCGAAAGCCUGAUGCAGCCAUGCCGCGUGUAUGAAGAAGGCCUUCGGGUUGUAAAGUACUUUCAGCGAGGAGGCGUUACUCGCAGAAGAAGCACCGGCUAACUCCGUGCCAGCAGCCGCGGUAAUUC